rnacentral:rRNA from 1 species
CUCUAUGGCCAUGCCACCCUGAACAUGCUCAAUCUCAUCUGAUCUCAGAAGCUAAGCAUGGUCGGGCCUGGUUAGUACUUGGAUGGGAGACCACCUAGGAAUACCAGGUGUUGUAGACU